AACAAACCCGUGCAAGAAACACUAAUAAGCUUGGGUGGAGAAAAAAAACAAAGAAGGGGAAAUCGGUUGCCAUUCGAAACACCGGCUCGAUCAAAAACCCCUUUAAAAAACCACCCUAAAAGAGAAAAGGAACACACCCGAUGAGUAAUGACGCUGGCGUAUACCAGUGACAGUCCACAAGCAUACCCCAGCGUCAACACCAAAGAUAGCCAAACCCACACAAGCAAAACCAGGAACUUCCACCAAAACCCAUCUAGGACAGCCCUGCCAGCACAAACAGAUAGCACUAAGAGGCCAUGCAGCCAGGUACCCAAACCCUCUAAAAGAACACAACCACCAGCUGCCAACAGGCCCACAAAACACGGCAAACAGGAGCGCGCUGCAGCAGAAAAAUGCAGCCUAACCUGCCAAAACAGGAGGCUCGCUUUAUCAUAUAUAUGAAUAUAAUAGAGGAUCCACAAUUGUAAAUAAUUUAAAUGAUUUUUUUACACCAAGAAAUUAAUUCUUGAUUGGCACCGAUAAAAAUGGGAAUGUGAAUAUUACUUUUUCUUAAAUGUCUCGUUUAAACUUUUUU
rnacentral:lncRNA from 1 species